rfam:Gossypium hirsutum cultivar TM-1 unplaced genomic scaffold scaffold2869.1, whole genome shotgun sequence
AAUUAAAAUUUUCAUUUAUUUCUACUGUUACAAGAGGGUAUAGCAAAUGAAAUAAUCGAGCAAUUACACGUGGUAUGCCACGUGCACCUCUUACUGAUGUAUAGAAACUAAAUUUUAACAGUAAAGAUGGACGAAAAUUUAAUA